CCUACGGGAGGCUGCAGUGGGGAAUAUUGGACAAUGGGCGAAAGCCUGAUCCAGCCAUGCCGCGUGUGUGAAGAAGGCCUUCGGGUUGUAAAGCACUUUCAGUGGGGAAGAAAGCCUUGGGGCUAAUACCCUCGAGGAAGGACAUCACCCACAGAAGAAGCACCGGCUAACUCCGUGCCAGCAGCCGCGGUAAUACGGAGGGUGCGAGCGUUAAUCGGAAUUACUGGGCGUAAAGCGCGCGUAGGCGGUCUGAUAAGCCGGUUGUGAAAGCCCCGGGCUCAACCUGGGAACGGCAUCCGGAACUGUCAGGCUAGAGUGCAGGAGAGGAAGGUAGAAUUCCCGGUGUAGCGGUGAAAUGCGUAGAGAUCGGGAGGAAUACCAGUGGCGAAGGCGGCCUUCUGGACUGACACUGACGCUGAGGUGCGAAAGCGUGGGUAGCAAACAGGAUUAGAUCCCCCAGUAGUC
rnacentral:rRNA from 1 species